GAUGAACGCUGGCGGCGUGCCUAAUACAUGCAAGUCGAGCGAACAGACGAGGAGCUUGCUCCUCUGACGUUAGCGGCGGACGGGUGAGUAACACGUGGAUAACCUACCUAUAAGACUGGGAUAACUUCGGGAAACCGGAGCUAAUACCGGAUAAUAUAUUGAACCGCAUGGUUCAAUAGUGAAAGACGGUUUUGCUGUCACUUAUAGCUGGAUCCGCGACGCAUUAGCUAGUUGGUAAGGUAACGGCUUACCAAGGCGACGAUGCGUAGCCGACCUGAGAGGGUGAUCGGCCACACUGGAACUGAGACACGGUCCAGACUCCUACGGGAGGCAGCAGUAGGGAAUCUUCCGCAAUGGGCGAAAGCCUGACGGAGCAACGCCGCGUGAGUGAUGAAGGUCUUCGGAUCGUAAAACUCUGUUAUUAGGGAAGAACAAAUGUGUAAGUAACUAUGCACGUCUUGACGGUACCUAAUCAGAAAGCCACGGCUAACUACGUG
rnacentral:rRNA from 1 species